rnacentral:rRNA from 1 species
GACAGAGGGGGCAAGCGUUGCUCGGAAUCACUGGGCGUAAAGGGCGCGUAGGCGGGAUGGCAAGUCAGUCGUGAAAUCUCUCGGCUCAACCGAGAAACGUCGGCUGAUACUGCCGUUCUUGAGGGAUGCAGAGGAGACUGGAAUUCCCGGUGUAGCGGUGAAAUGCGUAGAGAUCGGGAGGAACACCAGAGGCGAAGGCGGCGACCUGGACAGGUACUGACACUCAACUACGAAAGCGUGGGGAGCAAACAGG